UACGUAGGGGGCAAGCGUUGUCCGGAUUUAUUGGGCGUAAAGAGCGUGUAGGCGGCCAUGUAGGUCCGUUGUGAAAACUCGAGGCUCAACCUCGAGACGCCGAUGGAAACCAUGUGGCUAGAGUCCGGAAGAGGAGAGUGGAGUUCCUGGUGUAGCGGUGAAAUGCGCAGAUAUCAGGAAGAACACCCGUGGCUAAGGCGGCUCUCUAGUACGGUACUGACGCUGAGACGCGAAAGCGUGGGGAGCGAACAGG
rnacentral:rRNA from 1 species